rnacentral:sRNA from 1 species
GCUGGGUGCAGUGUCGUAUGCCUAUAAUCCCAGCAACUCAGGAGGCUGAGGCAGGAGGAUUGCAAGUUUGAGGCCAGCCUUAUCAAGCAAGCAAGGCCUUUAGCAACUUAAUGAGAUACUGUCUCAA